GGCCAUAACACAUAGGCUUAAACACAUGUGACAACUUGCCCCAACCUGCCAUUGUGAACAAAUAUAUUUGUCAUGAGAGCACAGUAAAGCCUUCAAAUCAUUUCAGUAAAAUCUACUUCCAUAAUAUGGUAUUUAUAUUAUAUUCCCUUGUUUACCCCAUUGCUUUUCAAAAAUAUUAUGGUAUUUGUAAUUUUAAAUUAGUGUGUUAACAACAAAAAAAUCCGAAUUUCUGACAGUUGAACCAGGUGUUUGAAAUCAACAUGCUAGAGAAAUCAAAGACUUGCUGUAGCCCUUGUGACAACUUACCCCUGUGACAACUAGCCCCGGACUUCACUAUAGUACAUGUAUAAUAGGGACUGUUAAUUCCCAACUGCUCCUUAUUUGAAUAAUAAUGGUAGUCUGAUUGAACAGCUUGCAGAUUUUAUAAGGUGAAAAAUAUGACAUUUUAUGUCCUAAUGUGUGUAUAUGAUCUGUCGAGACGAGCUGUGACAUUGAACAGCGUGUAAGGACGACAAAACGCAAUGAGAGAGAGAGAGAGAGAGCGCGCGCGCGCGAGAGAGAGAGAGAGAGAAAGAGAGAGAGAUUUGCUGAAAGAAAGAGAUUUUCCACCGCGCUCAUCCACACACAUCUCGCCCGCUUUUGCUGAGGAGAAAAGAAACAUGCAAUGAAUGAAAGCAGACCGUCUGCGCGCGAAUGACAUUAUCAGCACCGGUUCGCGGGGUUUCAGAGUCCAGCGUGAAGAAGAUGAAUUGAUGGUGUGUUUUCUGAGUGACAGAGGCGCAGAUGGGCUUCAGCAUGACUUGCCUCUGGAUUUUAACUUUGGCCAUCAGUGUUCACAGAGAGACAAAAACAGAAAAAAAGAGGGGAGGAGAAAGAGGUAAGAGACACAAGGUGAGAUGAAAAUCUUUUGGAACUAAAGAAGAAGAGGGAAAGAAGAGAGACAGGGAGUAAAGAGGUAAAGGAAAUGGCUCACAUUCUUUCAGUGCAGAGAAAGAGAAAGUGUGUGUGUAAGUGAGAUGAUCGGAUGGAAAAAGGAAAUGGACAGUUGGGAUGAGUGAGAGAAAGAGAUGAGAGAUAAAUAAAGGAAGAAAGUUCACACACCAGAAGGAAAGAUGAAAGUGGAAAACAGGAGCAGAGGAGUCAUGCAGGAAAUAAAAUGAAAGGAAAGAAAAUAUAUGUCCUGCACCCCAUGGAGAUGACCUUUGACCUUUCUAACAGUCUGUUGACACAAAGAGGUCAGUGGGUCGAGGCCUCAAGAAACUAAACAAACACAGAAUAUGACCGCUACAGUCACAGCACACUCUU
rnacentral:lncRNA from 1 species